ensembl:lncRNA
CAAGAUGACUUCAUACACGUGGAUUUUACUCAUUCUGGCAAGUCUUGUGGCAACAAAAGCGCAAGAUUUUGACCUCAGUGAUGCUUUUUAUGAGGCUGACAAGCCCCCUCCGAAGCCAACAGUGAAACCAGCCCCACCGAAAAACCCAGAUUCAGGAUUUGAUAUUUCAGAUGCCUUCAAUUUGGAUAAAAAUAAACCAUCUGGAGUUGACCUCGAUCUGUCUAUUGCAUUUGCUCCAGAUUUGGACCUCGCUGAUGUUUUGGAUGGUGCUGACAAGCAGGGUAGGGGAGCACAGGGUGGUGAGGAGACUCUCAGCGCAGAGUCUGCAGCGGCUAUGGAGUGUCAGAAGGUCCACAGCAUGAGUGCACCCCGACCGCAUGGCACGGGUGGAAGUGGCCACGUGCUGACUGAGGGUGUCCUUCAGACACAGAGAGAUACAACUGAUGCAAUUACAGUCAUAGCAGAUGAGCUUAAGCAAAUAAAGGUUGUGUUGUGUGACAUUGCAUCUACAUUAAAAGAUCUUGUUAAAAAAUGA